rnacentral:rRNA from 1 species
CCUACGGGUGGCAGCAGUGGGGAAUAUUGCACAAUGGGGGAAACCCUGAUGCAGCGACGCCGCGUGAGUGAAGAAGUAUCUCGGUAUGUAAAGCUCUAUCAGUAGGGAAGAAAAGGACGGUACCCGACUAAGAAGCCCCCGCUAACUACGUGCCAGCAGCCGCGGUAAUACGGGGGGGGCAAGCGUUUUCCGGAUUUACUGGGUGUAAAGGGGGUGUAGACGGCGCGGUAAGUUCGGAGUGAAAGCCCGUGGCUUAACCAUGGUACUGCUCUGGAAACUGUGGAGCUUGAGUGCGGGAGGGGCAAGCGGAAUUCCUGGUGUAGCGGUGAAAUGCGUAGAUAUUAGGAGGAACACCGGCGGCGAAGGCGGCCUACUGGACCGUAACUGACGUUGAGGAUCGAAAGCGUGGGGAGCAAACAGGAUUAGAUACCCGGGUAGUC